AUUGAACGCUGGCGGCAGGCCUAACACAUGCAAGUCGAACGAGUGGCGGACGGGUGCGUAAUGUCUGGGAAACUGCCUGAUAGAGGGGGAUAACUACUGGAAACGGUAGCUAAUACCGCAUACCAUCGGAUGUGCCCAUAUGGGAUUAGCUAGUAGGUGGGGUAAAGGCUCACCUAGGCGACGAUCCCUAGCUGGUCUGAGAGGAGGAUCAGCCACACUGGAACUGAUACACGGUCCAGACUCCUACGGGAGGCAGCAGUGGGGAAUAUUGCACAAUGUGCGCAAGCCUGAUGCAGCCAUGCCGCGUGUAUGAAGAAGGCCUUCGGGUUGUAAAGUACUUUCAGCGGGGAGGCGUUACCCGCAGAAGAAGCACCGGCUAACUCCGUGCCAGCAGCCGCGGUAAUUC
rnacentral:rRNA from 1 species